CUCUAUUAGCCGGAGAAACAGGUCUCGAUGUAGACAUUAAUGCCCUUCAUCCUGUGUUUGGUUCAACUCCACUGCAUUUUACAUCAGGUCCUCCUGAGUAGAUCAACUUAUAUAUUCGCAAUGGAGCUCGGACUGACAUCAGACAUAAGGGCAUGUUACCUUUAAACAAAUUUCUUGACUACAUAAGAAGGGGAUAUGAAAAUGUUGAUUGGUCUUCAAGACAAUCUAUCUGCAUGUUGGUUGUUUUUUUGUGCUUAGAUAUGGAAAAGUUGGAGUCUCUUAGGUUUCUUUUUGAGAACACAAAAGAGGUUGAAAAAGAAG